rnacentral:rRNA from 1 species
UACAGAGGUCUCAAGCGUUGUUCGGAUUCAUUGGGCGUAAAGGGUGUGUAGGCGGCGCGGUAAGUCGGGUGUGAAAUCUCGGAGCUUAACUCCGAAACUGCAUUCGAUUCUGCCGUGCUUGAGGACUGGAGAGGAGACUGGAAUUUACGGUGUAGCGGUGAAAUGCGUAGAUAUCGUAAGGAAGACCAGUGGCGAAGGCGGGUCUCUGGACAGUUCCUGACGCUGAGGCACGAAGGUCAGGGGAGCAAACGGG